rnacentral:rRNA from 1 species
UACGUAGGGGGGCGAGCGUUGUCCGGAUUUAUUGGGCGUAAAGAGCGUGUAGGCGGCCAGGUAGGUCUGCUGUGAAAAACUCGAGGCUCAACCUCGAGACGUCGGCGGAAACCAUCUGGCUAGAGUCCGGAAGAGGAGAGUGGAAUUCCUGGUGUAGCGGUGAAAUGCGCAGAUAUCAGGAAGAACACCCCGUGGCGAAGGCGGCUCUCUGGGACGGUACUGACGCUGAGACGCGAAAAGCGUGGGGGAGCGAACAGG